CCUACGGGAGGCAGCAGUAGGGAAUCUUUCACAAUGGGCGAAAGCCUGAUGGAGCAACGCCGCGUGCACGAUGAAGGCCUUCGGGUUGUAAACUUCUUUUAUAAGCGAGAAAUAUGAUGGUAACUUAUGAAUAAGGAUCCGCUAACUAAGUGACCACAGCCGCGGUCAUACGUAGGAUCCGAGCAUUAUCCGGAGUGACUGGGUGUAAAGAGUUGCGUAGGUGGCAUAAUAAGUAGCGAGUGAAAUAUGGAGGCUCAACCAUUCAAAAUAUUUGCUAAACUGUUAAGCUAGAGACCGUUAGGGGUAACUGGAAUGUCUAGUGUAGGAGUGAAAUCCGUAGAUAUUAGAAGGAACACCAAUAGCGUAGGCAGGUUACUGGGACGGUACUGACACUAAGGCACGAAAGCGUAGGGAGCAAACGGGAUUAGAUACCCCUGUAGUC
rnacentral:rRNA from 1 species